AUUGAACGCUGGCGGCAGGCCUAACACAUGCAAGUCGAACGGUAGCACAGAGAGCUUGCUCUCGGGUGACGAGUGGCGGACGGGUGAGUAACGUCUGGGAAACUGCCCGAUGGAGGGGGAUAACUACUGGAAACGGUAGCUAAUACCGCAUAACGUCGCAAGACCAAAGUGGGGGACCUUCGGGCCUCACACCAUCGGAUGUGCCCAGAUGGGAUUAGCUAGUAGGUGGGGUAAUGGCUCACCUAGGCGACGAUCCCUAGCUGGUCUGAGAGGAUGACCAGCCACACUGGAACUGAGACACGGUCCAGACUCCUACAGGAGGCAGCAGUGGGGAAUAUUGCACAAUGGGCGCAAGCCUGAUGCAGCCAUGCCGCGUGUAUGAAGAAGGCCUUCGGGUUGUAAAGUACUUUCAGCGGGGAGGAAGGCGGUGAAGUUAAUAGCUUCACCGAUUGUCGUUACCCGCAGAAGAAGCACCGGCUAACUCCGUGCCAGCCGCCGCAGUAA
rnacentral:rRNA from 1 species